rnacentral:rRNA from 1 species
AUUGAACGCUGGCGGCAUGCUUUACACAUGCAAGUCGAACGGCAGCACAGGGAGCUUGCUCCUGGGUGGCGAGUGGCGCACGGGUGAGUAAUGUAUCGGAACGUGCCUGGUAGUUGGGGAUAACUACUCGAAAGAGUGGCUAAUACCGCAUGAGAUCUUUGGAUGAAAGCGGGGGACCUUCGGGCCUCGUGCUACUGGAGCGGCCGAUAUCAGAUUAGGUUGUUGGUGGGGUAAAGGCCUACCAAGCCUGCGAUCUGUAGCUGGUCUGAGAGGACGACCAGCCACACUGGGACGGAGACACGGCCCAGAAUCCUACGGGAGGCAGCAGUGGGGAAUUUUGGACAAUGGGCGCAAGCCUGAUCCAGCAAUGCCGCGUGCAGGACGAAGGCCUUCGGGUUGUAAACUGCUUUUGUACAGAACGAAAAGUCUCUGGCUAAUAUCUAGAGAUCAUGACGGUACUGUAAGAAUAAGCACCGGCUAACUACGUG